GAUGAACGCUGGCGGCGUGCCUAACACAUGCAAGUCGAGCGAUUCACUUCGGUGAAGAGCGGCGGACGGGUGAGUAACGCGUGGGUAACCUGCCUCUUACACAUGGAUAACAUACCGAAAGGUAUGCUAAUACAAGAUGAUAUAAGAGAUUCGCAUGGAUUUUUUAUCAAAGCUCCGGCGGUAUGAGAUGGACCCGCGUCUGAUUAGCUAGUUGGUAAGGUAACGGCUUACCAAGGCGACGAUCAGUAGCCGACCUGAGAGGGUGAUCGGCCACAUUGGAACUGAGACACGGUCCAAACUCCUACGGGAGGCAGCAGUGGGGAAUAUUGCACAAUGGGCGAAAGCCUGAUGCAGCAACGCCGCGUGAGCGAUGAAGGCCUUCGGGUCGUAAAGCUCUGUCCUCAAGGAAGAUAAUGACGGUACUUGAGGAGGAAGCCCCGGCUAACUACGUGCCAGCCGCCGCAGUAAAAC
rnacentral:rRNA from 1 species